UACGGAGAGUGCAAGCAUUAAUCGGAAUUAUUGGGCGUAAAGGGCGCGUAGGCGGGAAGAUAAGUCAGAUGUGAAAUUCCGGAGCUCAACUUCGGAGCUGCAUUUGAAACUAUCAUUCUUGUGGAUUGACGGAGAAAACGGAAUUCCACGUGUAGCGGUGAAAUGCGUAGAUAUGUGGAAGAACACCGGUGGCGAAAGCGGUUUUCUAGUUUAUUCCUGACGCUGAGGCGCGAGAGCAAGGGGAGCAAACAGG
rnacentral:rRNA from 1 species